CCAUGGGUACUGAGUGCGCACGCGCGCCCUGCCACCCCGGCGCAAGGGCACCUGGGAAGCCCUCGGUGGCGGGAGAACAGCCCUGCGGCGGAGGGACUCUCCGCUGGGACGGUGGGACGUCCGUCGUUGUGCCCGGGGGCCUCAGGUGGUGUGUUUUCAGUCGCCUUACCUUUACGUCAUGAUCUAAGCACUGCGCUAAUCGAUACAAAGUAAGUUCCGGUUUAAGAAUUUUUACCGUAUCCAUUCUAUUCUGGCGGAAAAGAUAACUGAUUCCAGCAGUUAGCUAAAAUCACAGCCCUGUCAGGGCGAGUGUCCACGGUGCCUGGGGCAGAACCGAUGCUCCCUGACUGCUCCCCGAACGGCUGGACGAAGUCCCCCCAAACGGGCAUGCUGUGUCUGGACCCAGUUGCUGGCUCUCCCCUCAAGAUGGUACAGAUGCUACCAACCGGUCCAGGCGUGGGUGCCACUUGCCAUUGCAGCAGUGGAGACAGAGUGCCUCUCUCCCAGUAAUUCUACUGAAGUUCCAGGCCCAUCCGUGAGUCAAUCCCUGAGAUGCUGGUUGCACAGACCUGAGACAUGUGUCCAUUCCUAGAUCAGAAGUGAUGUCCUUCCCACUCACCGCAAAGGGCUGAGAGUAGGGGAGGCCUGGCCCCUCAAAUGAAAUAGGAAGCAUGAUGACCAAAAUAAAGGGGAGUGCUUGUUGGGCGAGCAAACCAACAGGCACCCGAUUCGAUGAGUA